rnacentral:lncRNA from 10 species
ACCGCUCUGAUGGUGGCACAUGCCGAGUCACCCGAGUAAGCUAUUGUUAAGGGCCGUGACCCGAGCCUCCAUCAGCCGUCCGCUCUCAUGAAAGGCUGUCGGUGGUAGUCCACGUGCUUAAGUGCCUGCAUUCCGCAGUGUCACCAAUAUUUCCAUUAGUGUUUCUUUUUUCUUUUUUGAGACCGAGCCUCGUUCUGUCACCCAGGCUGGAAUGCAGUGGCUCGACAUCGGUUAAUGGCAACCUCCGCGUCCCGAGUUAAGCAGUUCUGCCUCAGCCUCCCAAGUAACUGGGACUACAGGCGCGCGCCACCAUGCUAGGCUUUUAUAUUUUUAGUAGAGACGGGGUUUCACCAUGUUGGCGAGACUGGUCUUGAACUCCUGACCUCAGGUGAUCCACCAGCCGUGGUCCCCCAACAUACUGGGAUUACAAGCCGUGAGCCACCGCGCCCGGCCGCCAUCGGUGGUUCUUAACUGCGGGUGCAGUGCUUCUUUGUAACAUUAAGUGUAUCCUUUACCUGUCGCUAGAUAAUGAAUGGUAUGUUACCUGCAUCAUUGGUUUAAAAAGACGAACCGUUUUUUUAAAGAACACUCUUUAAAAAAAAGAACCGUGGAACAAUGAAUUAAAAUCUGUACCUGAUCUCUUUAGGUAUGGUGCUGGGUGCAGAUGCAGUGUGGCUCUGGAUAGCACCUUAUGGACAGUUGUGUCCCCAAGGAAGGAUGAGAAUAGCUACUGAAGUCCUAAAGAGCAAGCCUAACUCAAGCCAUUGGCACACAGGCAUUAGACAGAAAGCUGGAAGUUGAAAUGGUGGAGUCCAACUUGCCUGGACCAGCUUAAUGGUUC